rnacentral:lncRNA from 1 species
AUGUAUACUAGAACACACCCGCGAAAUCGCGGGCAUUCAGAGCGUAGUUUAAAGUAUGUAAAGUGUUGUUGGAAGAAUUUUGUAAAAUACAGAAUGACUGGAGAAUUUUAGCAAAAGUAUCAUAAGUCAUAGGUUAUUGGGGACAGGAAAAUGUUUUUUUACCCUCCACCUUUAUUUCCAAAGUUCCCAAUUUUUGGUUUUCUAUCAAUUUCAAUAUGAACAUACAUUUAGUAUGUUAUGAACAUUUAUUUAAGUAAGUAGCCUGUAAUUCAGUGGUUGUCGUUUGUUUAUGUGUUACAUAUUUGUUUUUCGUUCAUUUUUUGUACAUAAAUAAGGCCGCUAGUUUUCUCGAUUGCAUUGUUU